rnacentral:rRNA from 1 species
GAGUAACACGUGGGCAACCUGCCUGUAAGUUGGGGAUAACUCCGGGAAACCGGGGCUAAUACCGAAUGAUAAAGUGUGGCGCAUGCCAUGCUUUUGAAAGAUGGUUUCGGCUAUCGCUUACAGAUGGGCCCGCGGUGCAUUAGCUAGUUGGUAGGGUAAUGGCCUACCAAGGCAACGAUGCAUAGCCGACCUGAGAGGGUGAUCGGCCACACUGGG